rnacentral:rRNA from 1 species
GUGCCAGCAGCCGCGGUAAUACGGAGGAUCCAAGUGUUAUCCGGAAUCAUUGGGUUUAAAGGGUCCGUAGGCGGGACAAUAAGUCAGCGGUGAAAGUCUGUGGCUCAACCAUAGAAUUGCCAUUGAUACUGUUGUUCUUGAGUGUUUAUGAAGUGGUUGGAAUAUGUAGUGUAGCGGUGAAAUGCAUAGAUAUUACAUAGAACACCGAUUGCGAAGGCAGAUCACUAAUAAAUACUGACGCUGAUGGAC